rnacentral:rRNA from 1 species
UUAUAAAUUAAAUUAUUAUUAUUAUUUAAUUAAAGUAUUUUUUUAUUUAUUAUUUUAAUAGAAAAAUUAUUUUUUAUUAUAGUUUAUUAGUAAAGUGAUUGAACUUUUAUUAUGUUUUAAAAAGAAAAAUUAAUUUUUUGUACCUUGUGUAUCAGGGUUAAUUAAUUUAUUUAUUAAUAUUAAUUGAUCUCGAAUUAAAAAGUUCUAAUUAAUUAUAUGUUUAAUUUUUUCAUAAAUUUUCUUAAUUUUUAGUUAGAAAUGAAACGUUAUUCGUUUUUUAAUAUAUCUAGUUUUUUAAGAAAAGAAUUUAAUUCUCUUAUUAUUUAUUUAUUAUCUAAUUUUUAGUUAAUAAUUUUUAGUAUGAAAUAUUUAAAGGGAUGAGCUUUUAUUUUUAUAAUUAAAAAUUUAUUUUGUUAAUAUAUAUUGUAUAAUUUAAAUUGUUAAUCAUUUGAAUAAUUUAAUAUUUAAUUUUAUUAGAUUUUAUUAUUUAUAUUUAUUUUAAUUUUUAUAUUAAAAAAUUUUGUUUAAUGUUUUUUCUUUAUUUAUAAUGAUUAAAUUAGUAGAUUUAUUUUUAUUAUUAAUUUUUUAUUUUAGGUAAUAAAAAGGAACUCGGCAAAAUAAUUUUUCGCCUGUUUAUUAAAAACAUGUCUUUUUGAUUAUAAUUUAAGGUUUAAAUCUGCUCAAUGAGUUGUUAAAUUGCCGCAGUAUUUUGACUGUGCAAAGGUAGCAUAAUAAUUAGCUUUUUUAUUGAGAGCUGGAAUGAAUGAUUGGACGAGAAAAUUUCUGUCUCUUUAUUAUUUUUGUUGAAUUUUACUUUUAAGUUAAAAGGCUUAAAUAUUUUUAAAAGACGAGAAGACCCUAUAGAGUUUAAUUUUUAUUUAAUUUAUUAGUUUUUUGGGAUUUGAAAUUUUUAUUUUAAUAAGAAUUUGGUUGGGGUGACCAAAAGAUAAAUUUAACUCUUUUAAUUUUAAUCAUUAAUUUUUGAAUAUAAAAUCUAUUUUUAUAAUUUUAAAAUAAAUUACCUUAGGGAUAACAGCGUAAUUUUUCUUUAGAGUUCUUAUUGAAAGAAAAGCUUGCGACCUCGAUGUUGGAUUAAAAUUUAUUUUAGGUGCAGAAGCUUAAAAAUUGAGUCUGUUCGACUUUUAAAAUUUUACGUGAUCUGAGUUUAAACCGGUGUGAGCCAGGUUGGUUUCUAUCUUUAAUUAUUUAAUAUAUUUUAGUACGAAAGGACCAAAUAUAUAAUAAAUUAUUUUAUUUUGAAUAUUAUU